rnacentral:lncRNA from 1 species
AUAAUAUAUAAUAUAUAUAAUUAGAGAAUAUAUAUAUAAUAAUUAUAAUAUACUAAUAAUAUAUAUAAUAAAAAAUAUAUUAAAUAGUUUUUCAUCUAUUUUUUCUUUUUUUUCAAUCAAACAACUGUCAUGGAAAAUUACUUUUUUUUUUUCUUACAAACCAAACACAAACGAUGUAAAACUUUUUUCUACUGAAAAUUUUUUUUCCACCGAAAAUUUUUUUUUUCACAGUUUUACG